rnacentral:miRNA from 1 species
CCCCCGAGGAGGACGAGGAGGA